rnacentral:rRNA from 1 species
UACGUAGGUGGCAAGCGUUGUCCGGAAUUAUUGGGCGUAAAGCGCGCGCAGGCGGUCCUUUAAGUCUGAUGUGAAAGCCCUCGGCUCAACCGAGGAGGGUCAUUGGAAACUGGAGGACUUGAGUGCAGAAGAGGAAAGUGGAAUUCCAAGUGUAGCGGUGAAAUGCGUAGAGAUGUGGAGGAACACCAGUGGCGAAGGCGACUCUUUGGUCUGUAACUGACGCUGAGGCGCGAAAGCGUGGGGAGCAAACAGG